UGUUCGAAGGAUAGCAGGGUGCGAUUCACUUUUGGCGCUUCAAAACUCGGAAACGUUUCAUCCUUGUUGUUCAUCAAAUGUUAAACAAGGCUAAAAUAAUGCUCCGUAACGUUUGAAGCGUCCAGUGGAUCACACGAUCACACCUAUCCCAAGUAGCACAGCAAGUCACAAUAAAAUCAAAAUGACGUCAAAAUGAUGGUAAAAUGAUAAAAAAUCGUCAUUUUGCAGUCAUUUUGACAUUAUUUUGACUUUAUUGUGACUUGCUGUGCUACUUGGGAUGUGGCUGAUUCCCGAGAGACAAUUGAGAAUCAACGCGCGCAUUAUCAUCGAUAAAUAAACGGCGUCUCGUCUCACGUCUGGUCGUGCGGCCGACUUACCGCUAGAGGGCGCCACUUGUGAAUUCUCGCGCCUCGCGAAGUCCAGGAAAUCCGAGGACCGAGACCAAGGACUCGAGGACCGAGUUAUAUCCGAGUCCGAGCAGCCCGGGCUGCCCGGGCGACCCGGCGAAAGUGAAGGGUGAAAAAUUGGCGGGCUUGCAGGGUGGAACGAUUCGGGAAAUGAUCAAUUUCGCGUUUCCUCGUGGAACGCUCCACAGGUGUUACGCGUCACUUUCUCCCGGAAGUUUAGCUCGCUUUUCGCGAUUUCUGAUAAGUUUUUUUCCUUCCUAGGCGCGUAACGCGUGUUAGGAGAGCACGUUUUAUCUUUUUUCCCGCGAUUACUAGCCAGCGUUUAAUCUAUUUUCGAUGUUUGAUUUGUUCUACAGGGAAGUUUACGAAAGGACGUGUUAUCGUUCGUCCUAUUUAUAGGAAUGUAGAAAAUAUUGGAUGUUCAACAGAAGCACAUUCGAUGUUCAAAUAACUGAGCAUGAGAUCCGUGAAAGUAAAGCGCACUUAGCGGAAGUAAUAUUGAAUGUCUCGACAUUGUAAUGGACUUCUCUUUUUACAAAUGAUCCUUGAUGCAGUAAAGGACACGACAAAGACAAUUUUCUAUGCGUCGCGACCGACCUGCAGUUAGAGGGGAACUCGAUCGAGAAAGAGCUCAAUUAUUACUAAUACCGAAUGUCGAGAGUUGCGAUGUUCUCACGCACAUCAAGUUUGAAAAGGUCAAAUAAAAUGACGGCUGCUUCUGGGUCGAUACCUUCCGUAUUUCUCAUCGGAAGAACGAGCUUUUAAUGGAGAGAGAUUUGUUGGAAAUUUUAUACAAUGAUACACUUGCCGACUUUCCCAAGGUACUACUACGUCUUCCCCACAGCGUUACAGCUUCGUUUCGGUCUUUAAUUUUGUUACAGUUUUCAGCAGAGAGACGUCUUAUAAAAGCGACAUAUAGUUAUGACAUUACCUUAUUAUUUUGCAAUUUAAGCUUCUUUUUAUAAUUAUUAAAAUUUCUAAUUUAACGGA